rnacentral:rRNA from 1 species
GCGAAAACUUUACAAUGCUGGCAACAGCGAUAAGGGAACCUCGAGUGCCAGGUUACAAAUCUGGCUGUCGAGAUGCCUAAAAAGCAUUUCAUGGCAAGGCCCGGGCAAGACCGGUGCCAGCCGCCGCGGUAACACCGGCGGCUCGAGUGGUAACCGUUAUUAUUGGGUCUAAAGGGUCUGUAGCCGGCCGGAUAAGUCUCUUGAGAAAUCUGGCAGCUUAACUGUCAGGCUUUCAGGAGAUACUGUCUGGCUCGAGGCCGGGAGAGGUGAGAGGUACUUCAGGGGUAGGGGUGAAAUCUUGUAAUCCUUGAAGGACCACCAGUGGCGAAGGCGUCUCACCAGAACGGACCUGACGGCAAGGGACGAAAGCUAGGGGCACGAACC